rnacentral:rRNA from 1 species
CAGCCGCCGCGGUAACACGUAGGUGGCAAGCGUUGUCCGGAAUUAUUGGGCGUAAAGGGCUCGCAGGCGGUUUCUUAAGUCUGAUGUGAAAGCCCCCGGCUCAACCGGGGAGGGUCAUUGGAAACUGGGAAACUUGAGUGCAGAAGAGGAGAGUGGAAUUCCACGUGUAGCGGUGAAAUGCGUAGAGAUGUGGAGGAACACCAGUGGCGAAGGCGACUCCCUGGUCUGUAACUGACGCUGAGGAGCGAAAGCGUGGGGAGCGAACAGGAUUAGAUACCCCUGUAGUCCCUGUCUCUUAUAC